rnacentral:rRNA from 1 species
UACGUAGGGUGCGAGCGUUAAUCGGAAUUACUGGGCGUAAAGCGUGCGCAGGCGGUUCGUUGUGUCGGCGGUGAAAGCCCCGGGCUUAACCUGGGAAUGGCCGUUGAAACUGGCGAACUGGAGUGUGGCAGAGGGGGGUGGAAUUCCGCGUGUAGCAGUGAAAUGCGUAGAGAUGCGGAGGAACACCGAUGGACGAACGGCAGCCCCCUGGGCUAACACUGACGCUCAGGCACGAAAGCGUGGGGAGCAACAGG